UACAGAGGUGGCAAGCGUUGUUCGGAAUUACUGGGCGUAAAGGGCGCGUAGGCGGCCAUCUAAGCCAGACGUGAAAUCCCCGGGCUUAACCUGGGAAUGGCGUUUGGGACUGGAAGUCUGGAGUGCGGCAGAGGAGACUGGAAUUCCUGGUGUAGCAGUGAAAUGCGUAGAUAUCAGGAGGAACACCGAUGGCGAAGGCAGGUCUCUGGGCUGACACUGACGCUCAUGCACGAAAGCGUGGGGAGCAAACAGG
rnacentral:rRNA from 1 species